AUUGAACGCUGGCGGCAGGCUUAACACAUGCAAGUCGAGCGGGGUGAUGGUGCUUGCACUAUCACUUAGCGGCGGACGGGUGAGUAAUGCUUAGGAAUCUGCCUAUUAGUGGGGGACAACAUCUCGAAAGGGAUGCUAAUACCGCAUACGUCCUACGGGAGAAAGCAGGGGAUCACUUGUGACCUUGCGCUAAUAGAUGAGCCUAAGUCGGAUUAGCUAGUUGGUGGGGUAAAGGCCUACCAAGGCGACGAUCUGUAGCGGGUCUGAGAGGAUGAUCCGCCACACUGGGACUGAGACACGGCCCAGACUCCUACGGGAGGCAGCAGUGGGGAAUAUUGGACAUUGGGGGGAACCCUGAUCCAGCCAUGCCGCGUGUGUGAAGAAGGCCUUAUGGUUGUAAAGCACUUUAAGCGAGGAGGAGGCUCUUUUGGUUAAUACCCAAGAAGAGUGGACGUUACUCGCAGAAUAAGCACCGGCCAACUCUGUGCCAGCCGCCGCAGUAA
rnacentral:rRNA from 1 species